rnacentral:rRNA from 1 species
AGCGAACGCUGGCAGCAGGCCUAACACAUGCAAGUCGAACGAAGUCUUCGGACUUAGUGGCGGACGGGUGAGUAACACGUGGGAACGUGCCUUUAGGUUCGGAAUAACUCAGGGAAACUUGUGCUAAUACCGAAUGUGCCCUUCGGGGGAAAGAUUUAUCGCCUUUAGAGCGGCCCGCGCCUGAUUAGCUAGUUGGUGAGGUAAAGGCUCACCAAGGCUACGAUCAGUAGCUGGUCUGAGAGGAUGACCAGCCACAUUGGGACUGAGACACGGCCCAAACUCCUACGGGAGGCAGCAGUGGGGAAUCUUGCGCAAUGGGCGAAAGCCUGACGCAGCCAUGCCGCGUGGAUGAUGAAGGUCUUAGGAUUGUAAAAUCCUUUCACCGGUGAAGAUAAUGACUGUAGCCGGAGAAGAAGCCCCGGCUAACUUCGUGCCAGCCGCCGCCGUAAAAC